UUUUUUUUUUUUCCUCCUUUUUCCCCCCCUUUUUAGGGCCAUGCCUGCGGCAUAUGGAAGUUCUCAGGCUAGAGGCUGAAUCGGAGCUAUAGCUGCUGGGCUACACGACAGUCACAAUGAUGAGAGAUCCAAGCUGCCUCGGUGACCUACACCACAGUUCAUAGCAACACUGGAUCCUUAACCCACUGAGUGAGGCCAGGGACUGAACCUGCAUCUUCAUGGAUACUAGUCAGGUUCAUAACCCACUGAGUGAGGCCAGGGACUGAACCUGCAUCUUCAUGGAUACUAGUCAGGUUCAUAACCCACUGAGUCAUAACAGCAACUCCCUGUGUUCUGGUUUCAUUGAUUUACAUGCAGCUGUUCAGUGUUGCCAGCACCACUUGCUGAAGAGACUGUCUUUUUCCCCAUUUAAUAUUCUUGCCACCUUUGUCAAAGAUUAAUUGACCAUAGAUGUCUAGGAUUAUUUCUGGGCUCUCUAUUCUGUUUCAUUGGUCCGAAUGUCCAUUUUUGUACCAGUAAUACACUGUCUUGAUUACUAUAGCUUUGUAAUACUGUCUGAAGUCUGGGAGAGUUAUGCCUCCUGCUUGGUCUUUUGCCCUCAGGAUUGCCCUGGCAAUCCUGGUUCUUUUAUGGUUCCAUAUAAAUUUUUGGAUGCUCUGUUCUCGUUCUGUGAAAAAAAUGUCAAGGAUGAUUUGAUAGGGUUCACAAUAAAUCUGCAUAUUGCCUUGAGUAGUAUGGCAAUUUUAACAGUAUUAAUUCUUCCAAUCCAGCAGCAUGGAAUAUCUUUCAUUUCUUUGAAUCCUCUUUACUUUCCUUGAUUGUUUCAUAGUUCUCAGAGUAUAAGUCUUUCAUCUCCUUGGUGAGGUUUAUUCCUAGGUAUUUAAUUUUUGGUGUGCAAUUUUAAAAGGUAUUAUUUUUUAUAUUCCUUUUAAAUAUUUCACUGUUAGUGUACAGAAAUGAAACCAAUUUCUGAAUGUUAAUCUCAUAUCCUGCUACUUUGCUGAAUUCAUUGAUCAGUUUGAGCAGUUUUUGUGUGGAGUUGUUAGGGUUUUCUAUAUAUAGUAUCUUGUCAUCUGCAUAGAGUGACAAUUUUACCUCUUCCAAUUUGGAUACUUUUAAUUUCUUUUGUUUGUCUGACUGCUGUGGCUAGGAUUUCCAAUACUAUGUUGAAUAAAAGUGGUGAGAGUGGGCAUCCUGGACUUGCUCCAGAUUUUAGCGGGAAGGCUUUCAGCUUUUCUCUGUUGAGUAUUAUAUUGGCUGUGGGUUUGUCAUAAAUGGCUUUAUGUUAAAAUAUGUUCCCUCUAUACCCGCCUUGGUAAGAGUUUUUAUCAUGAAUGGCUGUUGGAUUUUUUUCAAAUGCUUUUUCUGCAUCUAUUGAGAUGAUCAUGAAGUUUUUGACUUUUCUUUGUUAAUGUGGUGUAUGACGUUGAUUUAUAUAUGUCACACCAUCUCUGUGAACUUGGGAUGAAUCCCACUUGGUUGUGGUAUGAUCUUUUUUAUAUGUUGUUGGAUUCAGUUGGCUAAAAUUUUAUUGAGAAUUUUUGCAUCUAUAUGCAUCGAAGAUACUGACCUGUAAUUCUUUUUUGGCAAUGUCUUUGUCUGGAUUUGGUAGUAGGGUGAUGUUAUUAGCUUCACAGAAUGUCUUUGGGAGUGUUCCUUCUUCUUUAACCUUUUAGAAAAUUUUAAGAAGGAUGGAUAUAAGUUCUUUGUAUGUUUUGUAGAAUUCACCUGUGAAGCCAUUUGGUCCUGGACUUUUGUUUGUAGAGAGUAUUUUUAUUAUACAUUCAAUUUCAUUUCUAGUGAUUGGUCUGUUCAAAUAAUCUAUUUCUUCUUGGUGGGCUGUAUGUCCCUAGAAAGUUGUCCAUUUCCUCUAGGUUGUCAAAUUUAUUGGCAUAUAAUUGUUCAUAGCAUUCUCUUUCUUUGGUAUUUCUGCAGCAUCCAUUGAUAUCUUUUUCAUUUCUUAUUUUAUUUGGGUUCUCUCUCUUCUUCUUGGUGAGUCUGGCCAGAAGUUUAUCAAUUUUGUUUACCCUUUCAAAGAACA
ensembl:lncRNA